GGAUAUGAGUAGAGCGGCGAACGGGUGAGUAACGCGUAGGAAUGUACCUAGUAGAAGGGGAUAGCCCGAGGAAACUCGGAUUAAUACCGUAUACCUCCUUCGGGAGAAAGAAGGCCUCUCUUUGAAGCUUUCGCUACUAGAUCAGCCUGCGUAAGAUUAGCUUGUUGGUGAGGUAAUGGCUCACCAAGGCUACGAUCUUUAGCUGGUCUGAGAGGACGAUCAGCCACAUUGGGACUGAGACACGGCCCAGACUCCUACGGGAGGCAGCAGUGGGGAAUAUUGGACAAUGGGCGCAAGCCUGAUCCAGCCAUACCGCGUGUGUGAAGAAGGCCUUCGGGUUGUAAAGCACUUUAAGCAGGGAGAAAAAAAUAUAGGUUAAUACCCU
rnacentral:rRNA from 1 species